rnacentral:rRNA from 1 species
GAUGAACGCUGGCGGCGUGCCUAAUACAUGCAAGUCGAGCGAACGGACGAGAAGCUUGCUUCUCUGAUGUUAGCGGCGGACGGGUGAGUAACACGUGGAUAACCUACCUAUAAGACUGAUAUAACUUCGGGAAACCGGAGCUAAUACCGGAUAAUAUUUUGAACCGCAUGGUUCAAAAGUGAAAUACGGUCUUGCUGUCACUUAUCGAUGGAUCCCGGCUGCAUUAGCUAGUUGGUAAGUUCACGGCUUACCAAGGCAACGAUGCAUAGCCGACCUGUGAGGGUGAUAGGCGACCCGGGAACGGGGACAGGGUCCAGAGGCCUACGGGAGGCAGCAGUAGGGUAUCGGCCGCAAUGGGCGAAAGCAUGACGGAGCAACGGCGAGUGAGAGAUGACGGUGUUGGGAGCGGAAAACUCUGUUAUUAGGGAUGAACAUAUGUGUAAGUAAAUGUGCACAGCUUGACGGUAACUAAUCAGAAAGCCACGGCUAACUACGUG